rnacentral:rRNA from 1 species
UUCCGUUGGGAUGCCUGCGGAAGGAUCAUUA